GAUGAACGCUGGCGGCGUGCCUAAUACAUGCAAGUCGAGCGAAUGGAUUAAGAGCUUGCUCUUAUGAAGUUAGCGGCGGACGGGUGAGUAACACGUGGGUAACCUGCCCAUAAGACUGGAUAACUCCGGGAAACCGGGGCUAAUACCGGAUAACAUUUUGAACCGCAUGGUUCGAAAUUGAAAGGCGGCUUCGGCUGUCACUUAUGGAUGGACCCGCGUCGCAUUAGCUAGUGGGUGAGGUAACGGCUCACCAAGGCAACGAUGCGUAGCCGCCCUGAGAGGGUGAUCGGCCACGCGGGGACUGAGACACGGCCCAGACUCCUACGGGAGGCAGCAGUAGGGAAUCUUCCGCAAUGGACGAAAGUCUGACGGAGCAACGCCGCGUGAGUGGUGAAGGCUUUCGGGUCGUAAAACUCUGUUGUUAGGGAAGAACAAGUGCUAGUUGAAUAAGCUGGCACCUUGACGGUACCUAACCAGAAAGCCACGGCUAACUACGUGCCAGCAGCCGCCGUAA
rnacentral:rRNA from 1 species